rnacentral:lncRNA from 1 species
UCAGGUUUGCCUGAUGCAACCAAUUGCUUGAUGGUGAACAGGAAAGGCACACGCUCACCACCAGGAAGCUGAACUGUGACGGCAGCAUAAUCAAUCCCAUCUUUCUCCUCGAAUUUGACGGUGCCAUCGGUGGAUACCUCGAAAGGGCCCUCGAUUUCGUCAAGGGUGUAGGUUAAACGGGUCAUGAGCUUGGUGUUUUGGAACUCAGGAGGGGCAUUCUUGUUAACACCCUCAGCCUUGACAGUGAAGGAAGUGGGCUCCAAGCAGAACUUCUUGGCGUAGUAUUUGCCAGGCUUGAAGGCAAAAGAGUCGACACCACCAUCGAUAGUUGGGCACUGGUUAGCAGUUCCUGUUCCUUUGACUUCCAUGUAUGUCUUGCUUUGGAUUUCAUCGUAGGUUAGCCGCUUUGGAACUCCUUCAGCGCUUGCUCCCUUCAAAACAAACCAGUCAUUGUAACAUAUUUGUUCAGAUCACGGAUCAUAUAUGAUCCUUAUGUAUGCAAUCAACGAUACUUGGUUCAAAUGAAAAAUCCAAAUGAUAAAGUUACAACACCAUGCAAGCUCAUUAAGAAUCCUACCUAAGCUACAUAAAAAUAAAUACAGAAAUUUGAAGCAAGUGAGAGGCGAGAAGUAAAUACCGA